rnacentral:lncRNA from 12 species
CACAACCACAAAGCAUAUAUAUAUGAAGCCACGUAUACUUAUAUACAUUAAUUUUCACAUUGUUUUGUCGAGGCUAUGAGUUUUCACAAGUUAGCAAGCACUGGUGGUGGUGAUAUAAAGAAAGUGACUGGGGGGCAGCAGUGAUUGGAAGUAGGAGCAUGAUUUUUGUUAUUUCCCUGGAACUAGAGUUGUAUCCAGAGUCUGUGACUGAGCAGAACAAAAGCACUGGCAAAAUGUGUUUCCGGAUGAUUUCUGAACAUGACCAUGACCGCCAACAUUCACUUGGCACUGUGUGAUGUCACAGUACAGAUGUUGCCACCCAGUGGGCAAAUAGGUCUUCUGAUAAGAGGGGAGGGGUUACAGUCAGAUUUCUAGGUUGGGAAGGUCCUUCCCUGUGGAGAUUUCCUAGCAUUUGGCAAGAUGAGACUCUCCCUUCAAAUAUAGAAGUAUUCCUGGCAGCAAUCCUCAGUGUGGGCUGCUCUGAGCAGCAGAGGAUGUUGUCAUGCGAGAAACAGAGAGCACAAGUCUCAGUUGAAAGUCUCCUGGAACUUUGAGAUUGGGCCAAGAUGCAUUUGCCAGUCAAAUUUGAGACCGUAGGACUAUGUUGUGUGAGGUACAGCACACAGGAAGCCUCUGUUCCUGCUACUGGCUUUGCUCUGGAGGCAAUCAGCUCCCCACUCUCGGCUCAAGUGGUGCUGGCCUGCACUGCAUCCAGGAGUUGUUACCAGUCCUUCUGGUUACAUAGUUUCAUCCCAUAAAGAAGACUCAUAAAGUUCUUCAGCAGGCCACAGGCCAUUCAUUAAAUAAUGGGAGAGUCAUAGCGUAGCCUGAAGGACACAGACUGGAGCCCCAGAUUCAGCUGCGUGACCCUGGGGACACCAUCUUAUCACUCAGAGCUUCCUCUCCUCAUCUGUAACACAAGUCAAUGAUAAUGUGUCUGCAAACUUUUGUAAAGGUCAAAAGAGAUACUGCUUGUAAAAAAAAAAAAAGUCAAAGUAGUAAUUGUGUCUUUUACCUUUCCUGCAUGUUGCCUAUCAUUGUGUCAUUUCCAAAUUUUAUA